GCCGAUCCUCCCAGGGUUCUUCCGGCUUCCGAUCUUGUGCAGCAUCUUUCUGAACUCCCCCGACUGUCCGAGCUUCCAUAAUACCAUCCGGACUUUUUCAAUAAUGAGCUCUUUCGUUUAUCUACCGGACUGCUCCAAAUGCUCUCUGGAUUUCACUAUCAGUCGAUUUUCUACAGUGAUCGACUACUCUCCGAAUUUCUUCCAGACUUCUUCCAGCCACGAUCGACUUUACUCCAAAUUUUUUUCGGACUUCGUUAAUGACCGAGCUUCUCCAGCAGCAGGACUUUUACAGUAACCAGACUCCAUUCAAGUUUCUACGGUGGUCGACCGCCUUCCGAAUUUUAUCCAAGCUCCGACAAGAGCCGGACUCCGUCCGAACUUUUACAGCGGAUGGAUCCCAGAUGAAUUUCUACAACGGACGGGCUCCACCAGUCGGAUCUCUUCUCCGAACUUUUAUUGCAAGCGGACUCCAUCCGAGCUUCUACAAUAAGAAGUCUCCAUUCGAGCUCCCACGGCAAUCGAUCUUUGUUCGAGUUUCUACAGUAAGCGGCCUCCUUCCGGACUCCUACAAGAAUCAGACUCCGUUCGAACUUCUACCAUAGAAUUGAAUUUCAGACUCCUCCAGCGGUCAACCUUCCAGUGUCCUCAAGACUCCUCCAGCGGACGAACUUCCACAACGCCUUCCGAACUCCACUAUCGGUCGACCUUCUGCUGGAUUCCUCGUGAAAUCAGACCUCUCCAGCGGACAGUCUUCAGACGAGCUUCUACAUCAGAUAAAUUUCAGACGGA
rnacentral:lncRNA from 1 species